GGAUGUGCAGGCGAUCUGGCAGUGACAUAUGUCACCCCAUUGAUUGCCAGGGUUGAUUCAGUUGAUCUGGCUGGCUAGACAGGUGUCCCCUUCCUCCAUCACCACUCUGUGUGCAUCCCUUCCGAAGCUGUGCACAAGAUCAAAGAUGAUGACCUUCCCCGAAUAGAUGAGGACCAGCCUUCCGUCAAGGGUAUAUGAGUAGCUGUGCUCCCCUGUCAAAACCUCUAAAGAACCUCUCUAGAAUAGCAAUAGUGACUGUCCUCUGACUCACUGAUGAGAACUCUGUGACUGUGAAGAAUCAGACUAUUAUAGACCCAGAGCUAAAAUCUUCUUAUGUUAUCUUU
rnacentral:snRNA from 1 species